rnacentral:rRNA from 1 species
GACGUAGGGCGCGAGCGUUGUCCGGAUUUAUUGGGCGUAAAGGGCGUGUAGGCGGCUCGAUAAGUCUGCUGUGAAAGCCCAGGGCUCAACCCUGGAAGGCCGGUGGAAACUGUCGGGCUAGAGUCCGGAAGAGGCGAGUGGAAUUCCCGGUGUAGCGGUGAAAUGCGCAGAUAUCGGGAGGAACACCAAUGGCGAAGGCAGCUCGCUGGGACGGUACUGACGCUGAGACGCGAAAGCGUGGGGAGCAAACAGG